GGAGGGGGGCAAGCGUUGUUCGGAAUUACUGGGGGGCGUAAAGGGCGCGUAGGGCGGAAGAUCAAGUCAGGGGUGAAAGGCCUGGGCUCAACCCGGGAACUGCCUUUGAAACUGGUUUUCUAGAGUACGGGAGAGGAUGGCGGAAUUCCCAGUGUAGAGGUGAAAUUCGUAGAUAUUGGGAAGAACACCGGUGGCGAAGGCGGCCAUCUGGCCCGGUACUGACGCUAAGGCGCGAAAGCGUGGGGAGCAAACAGGAUUAGAUACCCUGGUAGUCCACGCCGUAAACGAUGUGUGCUAGCCGUUGGGGCUUCAGGUCUCGGUGGCGCAGCUAACGCGUUAAGCACACCGCCUGGGGAGUACGGCCGCAAGGUCA
rnacentral:rRNA from 1 species